CCUACGGGCGGCUGCAGUGGGGAAUAUUGGACAAUGGGCGAAAGCCUGAUCCAGCCAUGCCGCGUGUGUGAAGAAGGCCUUCGGGUUGUAAAGCACUUUCAGUGGGGAAGAAAGCCUUGGGGCUAAUACCCUCGAGGAAGGACAUCACCCACAGAAGAAGCACCGGCUAACUCCGUGCCAGCAGCCGCGGUAAUACGGAGGGUGCGAGCGUUAAUCGGAAUUACUGGGCGUAAAGCGCGCGUAGGCGGUCUGAUAAGCCGGUUGUGAAAGCCCCGGGCUCAACCUGGGAACGGCAUCCGGAACUGUCAGGCUAGAGUGCAGGAGAGGAAGGUAGAAUUCCCGGUGUAGCGGUGAAAUGCGUAGAGAUCGGGAGGAAUACCAGUGGCGAAGGCGGCCUUCUGGGCUGACACUGACGCUGAGGUGCGAAAGCGUGGGUAGCAAACAGGAUUAGAUACCCCAGUAGUC
rnacentral:rRNA from 1 species